UUUAAAAAGGGACAAAAUAAAACUAAAAUUCCCGAGCAAUGGAUCCCAGUGGGAACAUUAAAAAACUUAUUGGUGUACCCUAUAAAGUCUUGCGCGCCGAUCGUACUGAACACAGCAGAAUGCUCUUCAUUGGGUUUGAAGGAUAAUUGGCUGAGGGACAGGUUCCUAAUGGUAACUGAUUCAAAUUAUCGUUUUCUAACGGCAAGAAAACAUCCCAAUCUUCUUCUUGUGCAGUCAUCGUUUGAGAAAUCUAUUUUAACAUUGAAACACAAAGAUAUGGAACCACUUAGAAUUAAUUUGGAUGAGGUUAUUGAAUUACAAAAGCCCCAAAGUGGUGUUUGUUUGGGGUACCAAAGUUCCUAUUCGUGACUGCGGUUGGGCUGCAAGCGAUUGGUUUUCAAGAUUACUCGGUUCCACAGAAAACCCGAUGAAACUUGUUUUAUACGCUUCGAAAAAAAGUCGUAAACUAGCUCAAAGUCAUGUACAAAAUAUUUACAACUUUGGAAGUGAAGAUACGGUAUAUAUAAAAUAUUUUAUU